rnacentral:tRNA from 1 species
GCAGUGAUAGGCUAGCUGGGAAACCGCCCGGCUGAAAACCGGGACGUCGAGUGGUUCGAGUCCACUUCACUGCACCA